rnacentral:lncRNA from 1 species
UCCACCGCGGCCCGGGGCUCACGGAGAAGCACAGGGGCGCGUGCGGGCGCGGGUUGCGCACCGCCAGCAGCAGCGGAGCCGAGUUGCCGGCCAGGGUUAGGAGGUAGCAGAGGAGGACGAGGACGAUGAGGGUGGGCUGAAGCGGGGGCCAGUUGGAGAAGCCCAGCAGGAGGAAGCGCUCCCCGGUGCUGUGGUGGACCUAAGAAGAGAAACUCCAGGAAUGUUUGGAAUGACUAACAAAGAUGGGCACAGGCCGAGGAAAAUCCUGGACUGGAUGCUACAUGGGUCUGCUGCUCCUUAUGUGGAUUCUGGGUUUGAGAUGACAGCAAGGAGACUAACAAAAGACCCGUCAGUCUGACUGCAUUGACUUCUGAGAUGGGUACCUGUGAUCAGACCUAGGCACCUCAGGAAGACAACAGAGGGUUGGUGCCAUCUUGCUUGUCACUAGAGGAGUAGAUAAAACACUGGGAAAGAAUUCAGAUGAAGAGAUGUGAUCUCCAUUUUUGGGCAAUCUUGUCACGGG